rnacentral:rRNA from 1 species
AUUGAACGCUGGAGGCAGGCUUAACACAUGCAAGUCGAGCGGGGAAUGGUAGCUUGCUACCUGACCUAGCGGCGGACGGGUGAGUAAUGCUUAGGAAUCUGCCUAUUAGUGGGGGACAACAUUCCGAAAGGAAUGCUAAUACCGCAUACGCCCUACGGGGGAAAGCAGGGGAUCUUCGGACCUUGCGCUAAUAGAUGAGCCUAAGUCAGAUUAGCUAGUUGGUGGGGUAAAGGCCUACCAAGGCGACGAUCUGUAGCGGGUCUGAGAGGAUGAUCCGCCACACUGGGACUGAGACACGGCCCAGACUCCUACGGGAGGCAGCAGUGGGGAAUAUUGGACAAUGGGCGAAAGCCUGAUCCAGCCAUGCCGCGUGUGUGAAGAAGGCCUUUUGGUUGUAAAGCACUUUAAGCGAGGAGGAGGCUACUUGGAUUAAUACUCUAGGAUAGUGGACGUUACUCGCAGAAUAAGCACCGGCUAACUCUGUGCCAGCCGCCGCGGUAA